UACCCGCUGAACUUAAGCAUAUCAAUAAGCAGAGGAAAAGAAACUAACAAGGAUUCCCCUAGUAAUGGCGAAUGAAGAGGGAAAAGCCCAAAUUUGUAAUCUGGCUCUUUCAGAGUCCGAGUUGUAAUUUUAAGAACUGUUUUCAGUGCUGGACCAUGUACAAGUCUGUUGAAAAGCAGCAUCAUAGAAGGUGAUAAUCCUGUUCAUGAUAUGGACUACCAGUGCAAUAUGAUACAGUCUCUAAGAGUCGAGUUGUUUGGGAAUGCAGCUCAAAGUGGGUGGUAAAUUCCAUCUAAGGCUAAAUAUUGAUGAGAGACCGAUAGCAAACAAGUACCGUGAGGGAAAGAUGAAAAGAACUUUGGAAAGAGAGUUAACAGUACGUGAAAUUGUUAAAAGGGAAACAAUUGAAGUUAGACUUGUUAUUAUUAGUUCAACCUUUUUUAAAGGAGUAUUCUAAUGAUUAACAGACCAACAUCAAUUUUUGGGUGUUGGAUAAGGGUUUAGGGAAAUGUAGCAGUCUCUGACUGUGUUAUAGUCCUUCAGAGCUUUGAUACAAUGCCUAAGAUUGAGGAAUGCAGUAAGCCUUUUUUUUGAGGUGGAACAAAUUAUUGUUCUUCUUACUGAGGAUGUUGGUGCAAUAGCUUUAAAUGACCCGUCUUGAAACACGG
rnacentral:rRNA from 1 species